GCCUUAGUAGUAUAAAAAUUACAUUGGUUUUGUAAACCAAAAACGGAGUAUAAACCUCCCUAAGACA
rnacentral:tRNA from 1 species